rnacentral:rRNA from 1 species
GUUAUUUUAUGGGCCCAACCUCCCACCCGUGACUAUUGUACCUUGUUGCUUCGGCGGGCCCGCCAGCGUUGCUGGCCGCCGGGGGGCGACUCGCCCCCGGGCCCGUGCCCGCCGGAGACCCCAACAUGAACCCUGUUCUGAAAGCUUGCAGUCUGAGUGUGAUUCUUUGCAAUCAGUUAAAACUUUCAACAAUGGAUCUCUUGGUUCCGGCAUCGAUGAAGAACGCAGCGAAAUGCGAUAACUAAUGUGAAUUGCAGAAUUCAGUGAAUCAUCGAGUCUUUGAACGCACAUUGCGCCCCCUGGUAUUCCGGGGGGCAUGCCUGUCCGAGCGUCAUUGCUGCCCUCAAGCCCGGCUUGUGUGUUGGGCCCUCGUCCCCCGGCUCCCGGGGGACGGGCCCGAAAGGCAGCGGCGGCACCGCGUCCGGUCCUCGAGCGUAUGGGGCUUCGUCUUCCGCUCCGUAGGCCCGGCCGGCGCCCGCCGACGCAUUUAUUUGCAACUUGUUUUUUUCCAGGUUGACCUCGGAUCAGGUAGGGAUACCCGCUGAACUUAAGCAUAUCAAAGGCGGGAAAGGAAACCGAGUGCGGGUCUUUAUGG